rnacentral:lncRNA from 1 species
AUACAUAUUGUUUCAGUUUUGCCCAUUGCAUGACUCUCUCCUUUGCGUGAGCUGAAAUUGCUUGAUGAACUCUUGACACAAAGACAAACUAGAGUGCUUUGCAAAUACCAUAUACCAGAAGACUUUAUCAAGCAUAUAUGUUAUCAUACAAGUUGGCAGAAAGUGAUAAUCACGGUUUAAGGCGAUUAAAUUGAAUGUCUAAACAAGUUCCAUCUACAACGGUAUGUCUUAGACUCUGAUAGGGUGUUAAUUGUUGGUUAUUUUAUUGGUAAUUUUCCCCUUUAUCCUUGCCAAAUAUCGUUUUAAUUAUUAAUAUUUACUUAUAUUUGGUAUUGGACUCAAUUUCAGGAAGUGGAACAGAAAACUACAACAAAUGAGGGACUUUUCACUAUACAAUUGAGACUUCAAACAGUUGGGCCCCAUAUGGUGCUACAAGGAAGCCUUUUUCGGUUGAUGGCCCACAAGGAGAAGAAGAAAACGAAUUCCUUUUCUUUGUGCUGAUGGGAGUCUUUGACUAGCAAUAGGAAACUAAACAAGGAGGAAUUUCGGCAGAGCCUCAAUUCUUUGGCUUUUGGACUCCUUAGUCGGCGGGGACCACUGGAUAGCAGGAAGUCAUUUCCCUUUGGCUUUAAAAGGACGAACGUGCAGAAGUUUUCGGGACCGAUAGUUAGAGCUUAGUUUUUUUAGUUUCUUUUUCCCAUCGAAGAACAUUAGAAAGCUCCGAUUGUUUUAUUUUCUUGCACAACUGGUUCUCCAUUAAUGGAGAACUAGCUUCUCAAUUCUAGUGAAGGGAACAACUGAA